rnacentral:ncRNA from 1 species
GAGAGCCGGAUGCGGUGAAAGCCGCAUGUCCGGUUCGGAGGGGGAGCAACGGUCAUCCGGCAAACCCGGAAACACGUGCUCUACCCUAC